rnacentral:rRNA from 1 species
AUUGAACGCUGGCGGCAGGCUUAACACAUGCACGUCGAACGAGUGGCGGACGGGUGAGUAAUGUCUGGGAACCUGCCUGAUGGAGGGGGAUAACUACUGGAAACGGUAGCUAAUACCGCAUACCAUCGGAUGUGCCCAAAUGGGAUUAGCUAGUUGGUGGGGUAAAGGCUCACCAAGGCGACGAUCCCUAGCUGGUAUGAGAGGAUGACCAGCCACACUGGUACUGAGACACGGUCCAGACUCCUACGGGAGGCAGCAGUGGGGAAUAUUGCGCAAUGGGGGCAAGCCUGAUGCAGCCAUCCCGCGUGUAUGAAGAAGGCCUUCGGGUUGUAAAGUACUUUCAGGUGGGAGGCGUUACCCACAGAAGAAGCACCGGCUAACUCCGUGCCAGCAGCCGCGGUAAUUC